rnacentral:rRNA from 1 species
AUUGAACGCUGGCGGCAUGCUUUACACAUGCAAGUCGAACGGCAGCGCGGGCUUCGGCCUGGCGGCGAGUGGCGAACGGGUGAGUAAUACAUCGGAACGUGCCCAGUAGUGGGGGAUAGCUCGGCGAAAGCCGGAUUAAUACCGCAUACGACCUGAGGGUGAAAGCGGGGGAUCUUCGGACCUCGCGCUAUUGGAGCGGCCGAUGGCAGAUUAGCUAGUUGGUGGGGUAAAGGCCUACCAAGGCGACGAUCUGUAGCUGGUCUGAGAGGACGACCAGCCACACUGGGACUGAGACACGGCCCUGACUCCUACGGGAGGCAGCAGUGGGGAAUUUUGGACAAUGGGCGAAAGCCUGAUCCAGCAAUGCCGCGUGUGUGAUGAAGGCCUUCGGGUUGUAAAGCACUUUUGGCGGGAACGAAAAGGACUGUGCCAAUACCACGGUUCGAUGACGGUACCCGCAGAAUAAGCACCGGCUAACUACGUG